CCAAACCUGGUUGAUCCUGCCAGUAGUCACACGCUCGUCUCAAAGAUUAAGCCAUGCACGUGCAAGUAUACAUACCGUACUUUGAAACUGCGAAUGGCUCAUUACAACAGUUAUCGUUUAAAUGGUAGUCCCUUACUACUUGGAUAUCCGUAGUAAUUCUAGAGCUAAUACAUGCGUCAACACCCGACUUUCGGA
rnacentral:rRNA from 1 species